ACGAACGCUGGCGGCGUGCCUAAUACAUGCAAGUAGAACGCUGAAGAGAGGAGCUUGCUCUUCUUGGAUGAGUUGCGAACGGGUGAGUAACGCGUAGGUAACCUGCCUUGUAGCGGGGGAUAACUAUUGGAAACGAUAGCUAAUACCGCAUAACAAUGGAUGACACAUGUCAUUUAUUUGAAAGGGGCAAUUGCUCCACUACAAGAUGGACCUGCGUUGUAUUAGCUAGUAGGUGAGGUAAUGGCUCACCUAGGCGACGAUACAUAGCCGACCUGAGAGGGUGAUCGGCCACACUGGGACUGAGACACGGCCCAGACUCCUACGGGAGGCAGCAGUAGGGAAUCUUCGGCAAUGGGGGCAACCCUGACCGAGCAACGCCGCGUGAGUGAAGAAGGUUUUCGGAUCGUAAAGCUCUGUUGUAAGUCAAGAACGGGUGUGAGAGUGGAAAGUUCACACUGUGACGGUAGCUUACCAGAAAGGGACGGCUAACUACGUGCCAGCAGCCGCGGUAAUACGUAGGUCCCGAGCGUUGUCCGGAUUUAUUGGGCGUAAAGCGAGCGCAGGCGGUUUGAUAAGUCUGAAGUUAAAGGCUGUGGCUCAACCAUAGUUCGCUUUGGAAACUGUCAAACUUGAGUGCAGAAGGGGAGAGUGGAAUUCCAUGUGUAGCGGUGAAAUGCGUAGAUAUAUGGAGGAACACCGGUGGCGAAAGCGGCUCUCUGGUCUGUAACUGACGCUGAGGCUCGAAAGCGUGGGGAGCGAACAGGAUUAGAUACCCUGGUAGUCCACGCCGUAAACGAUGAGUGCUAGGUGUUGGAUCCUUUCCGGGAUUCAGUGCCGCAGCUAACGCAUUAAGCACUCCGCCUGGGGAGUACGACCGCAAGGUUGAAACUCAAAGGAAUUGACGGGGGCCCGCACAAGCGGUGGAGCAUGUGGUUUAAUUCGAAGCAACGCGAAGAACCUUACCAGGUCUUGACAUCCCGAUGCUAUUUCUAGAGAUAGAAAGUUACUUCGGUACAUCGGUGACAGGUGGUGCAUGGUUGUCGUCAGCUCGUGUCGUGAGAUGUUGGGUUAAGUCCCGCAACGAGCGCAACCCCUAUUGUUAGUUGCCAUCAUUCAGUUGGGCACUCUAGCGAGACUGCCGGUAAUAAACCGGAGGAAGGUGGGGAUGACGUCAAAUCAUCAUGCCCCUUAUGACCUGGGCUACACACGUGCUACAAUGGUUGGUACAACGAGUUGCGAGUCGGUGACGGCGAGCUAAUCUCUUAAAGCCAAUCUCAGUUCGGAUUGUAGGCUGCAACUCGCCUACAUGAAGUCGGAAUCGCUAGUAAUCGCGGAUCAGCACGCCGCGGUGAAUACGUUCCCGGGCCUUGUACACACCGCCCGUCACACCACGAGAGUUUGUAACACCCGAAGUCGGUGAGGUAACCUUUUGGAGCCAGCCGCCUAAGGUGGGACAGAUGGUUGGGGUG
rnacentral:rRNA from 1 species